AUUGAACGCUGGCGGCAGGCCUAACACAUGCAAGUCGAACGAGUGGCGGACGGGUGAGUAAUGUCUGGGAAACUGCCUGAUAGAGGGGGAUAACUACUGGAAACGGUAGCUAAUACCGCAUACCAUCAGAUGUGCCCAUAUGGGAUUAGCUAGUUGGUGGGGUAACGGCUCACCAAGGCGACGCUCCCUAGCUGGUCUGAGAGGAUGAUCAGCCAAACUGGAACGGAGACACGGUCCAGACUCCUACGGGAGGCAGCAGUGGGGAAUAUUGCACAAUGGGCGCAAGCCUGAUGCAGCCAUGCCGCGUGUAUGAAGAAGGCCUUAGGGUUGUAAAGUACUUUCAGCGGGGAGGCGUUACCCGCAGAAGAAGCACCGGCUAACUCCGUGCCAGCAGCCGCGGUAAUAC
rnacentral:rRNA from 1 species